rnacentral:lncRNA from 1 species
AAGCAGCUGACUUCAGGGCUAGGCUGGUCUCCAGCAUCAUAAGAGCAAAGGCAUGCUUUGUGGUUACAGAUUGGCACUGGAGCGGCCCUCCCUCCCUCUCUUUUGGGGACCUCGAGGGUCCAGGGGCGAGGGGAGCCGUGCCAGCAGCCUGCCUCAGUGUGUGUUCUCUGAGCACCUCGUGACCUUGCUGGGAGUGUGUCUGAUCAGCCGCUUCCCUUGUGACCAAAUAUUUGGUCAUGGCAGCAGGAGAGAAUUCCAUCAGUGGACAGCUCUAUUUUUAAGGCUCUGGCUUUGUUUUCUCUUUCCUGAGAGGCAGUCCCUGCAGCAGGCUUGAGCCUCUCUCACUGACAGCCUGCCUCGCAUAAUGUUAAGCAGGCAUCGGACACUUGCUGGAAGGCAGGGAAUUGCAAUGAAAGAGCACGGAGGUGAGAAGCUGUGCUCCUUGGGGUGAAGGCAGCUUCUGUGCUCCUGGGAUCUACUGUUAAGCCAGGGUGACGCCAGCUUGCAUGCUACCGGAGGGGAAGAGAAAAUUUGGACACACAGGGAGAAAACCACAGGGAGGAGAUGGCCAUCUACAAUUCCAGAAAAGCAGCCUCAGAAGAAACCAAUCUGCAAACAUCUUUAUCUGCAACUCCCUGCCUCCCAAAUGGAGUAAAGAGACAGAAAGGGAAUGAAUUUCCAAGAAGACCAGCGUAGAACGGAAAAAUAUCAGAGGAGGGAGAAUUGUUAAGGAUUUCCAGUAUCUCAAGUGUGGAUGCUGUCCUGAGCUGACCCAAGGCUCUGGAAAGGUAGGAGCUCUCUUUUGGGGGAAGAAGGGAAGAAUCCCAUUCCUGAAUGAGCAGGUGCAGACACUUGCAAGAUAAGAGGCACACACAGAGAUGUUUACCUGAAGAACUGCCUGGUGGAUGGCUAAGAAAGUGGCCCUGCCUAACACACACGUACGGAGAGACGGAGUUUGCAGCAAGACAGUGAAUUAUCUGCUUCUCAGUGGUGGCAGGGCCCUGUGAGUAGAAUCCUUACAUGUCCUCUUCCAUGGGCUUGUGGGAUAAGAGCAGAGCAGCCUGUAGGCCUGUCCAUCCCCAGCCUUGAGGUAAAUCCCACCAGUGAACAAGAUCCACCCAUCCACCCAGAGCUCCCUAUUAGCCUUGUGAGAGAAUGGCCAGAAAUAAAACAGAAACUCCUUUAUUCACAAAUCCCUAAUUUAUAAAUACUUUGAAACAAUGAAGAAUUGCCAGCUGCUGUGGUAAACAGAGCACAGAAGAGAGGUGAGUAAAGGUUCUAGUUAGCACUCGCUGAGCACUUUGUGCUGGCACUUUUCUAAAGAUUUUGCAAAUGUUAACUGAUGUAAUUCUCACAUCCAUUCUCUGGGGUGGUUUUCUUUUUCUUUUUUUUUUUUUUUGAGAUGGAGUCUCGCUCUGUCGCCCAGGCUGGAGUGCAGUGGCGUGAUCUCGGCUCACUGCAAGCUCCGCCUCCCGGGUUCACGCCAUUCUCCUGCCUCAGCCUCCUGAGUAGCUGGGACUACAGGCGCCCGCCACCACACCCGGCUAAUUUUUUGUAUUUUUUAGUACAGACGGGGUUUCACCGUGUUGGCCAGGAUGGUCUCGAUCUCCUGACCUCGUGAUCCGCCCACCUAGCCCUCCCGAAGUGCUGGGAUUACAGAGGUGAGCCACCACGCCUGGCCUCUGGGGUGGUUUUCACAAAGGAGGAAACCAAAGCACAAAGCCUAGGUGGCUCGCUCUAGGUCAACAACAAGCCAAUGCCAGAGCUGGGAUGAGAACCCAGGUUCUGUGUCUGUCAUGAACAUACACUGCGUGGCUCUGAAGAGAACAGAGAAAGUCAAAAGGAGAUAAUUUCUUAUAGACUUUAAAUAAUUUUUCCAGAGAAAUUCAAGAAAACAUCACAUCCAUAGAAACAAAACAAAGCCAAGUUGCUAUAUAAAAGAAACAAUAUGUAAAUGAGAACAAAUCAUUGGAAAUGAAAAAUACGACGGCCAAAAUAAAAAUGCAAUUAAAAAGUUGUAGAAGUCAUCAAAUCUUUCAAAGUAUAGAGCAAAACACAAAGGAAUACAAAAGAAAAAUAAAAUUUGAGGAGCACUGGCAAUAAAUUUAUUGAGAGGGCAGUCGCCAUCUAAUAAAUGUUCUAGAAAAAGAGAAGUGGAAAAAAAUUAGGGAGGCUACUGCAGAAAAAGAAUACUGUUUCUUAGAACUGAGGUUCUGAGAGUAUCUGAGGUUUUAGAUUUAAAAUGUCCACUGAUUUCUUGGUAGCAUGAAUACAAAAUGACCUAGACAUAAACUUAUUCCCAGGAAAUUUCAAAGCACCAAGUGUCAAGAGAAGCUUAUUCACUUCCAGAAGUGAACCAGAAACUUCAGACUGGUACAGAAAUAUUUCACUGCCACUAGUAGGCAUGAGAAGGCAGAGACAUGAUGUUGUGAAGAAAAAUUAUUUUGAGCUUGGGUAUUUCCAGGCUUCCCUGUUCUUGCCAUCCUGCUUUGUGCCCCGGGAGACCAGCAGCUAUGUGUUACCUUGCCCUCUGGCUUUCAGUUGGGUUGUAAGGAUGAGAGACAAAAGUAGAAGACUGAGAGGAGAAAGAGAAUGAAGUCAAAGUAUGUAUCCCCUCCUUAUGUUCCUGCCAGAGAGUUGCAGAUUGGCUGCCUCUCUCUACUCAAGACCACAGGUCAAACCAGGAAGCCCUCCCUGUUCAUCUUCUCUCUCUUUGGGCUUGCAGUGGAUCUGCCAUGAUCCCUUUGAUUUUCCUAAAUGUUACCCACAUCUUGUAAUACCCAUAUCUUUCCUUAUCCAAAUUUGCCCUAUUACAUAGUUAGGGGAACUAUCUGAGACAGAUAAACUCUGAUAAAGAGUGUGGAAUUUCAAAUCUAGAAAUUCAUACUCUCUAAACUAUUAAUAGAGUAAGAAAUAGAGAUACAUGUAUAUUACCUAUGGUCAUGAAAAUAACUAAAACGAUAACUAAAUAUAAAAUUAUAAUGUCAAGAAAAUGUAUAAGGAAGACAUGAGAGGGAACUAGAGUAGUGUAAAGAGAUAAGUUAUUUGUCUCCCAAAUUCAAGUGAGGAAAGAAAAGAAGUUUUAUAGGAGGAAUGCAAGCCCUUUCAAAUGAUCAGGCCUAGAGAGACGUGAAAAUGAGACAGCAAUCACAUCCUACUCCUGCCUUUAAGCUAUGUAUUCACCUAUUGAAACAGCUUGCUAUUGUCACAGAUAGCUAUGAAUUAAACUAAUAAUGCUUCACCAGACACUGUAUUCCACACCCCACAGUGUAAAGAAUGUAUAGCUGAUCAGAGAUCAGUUUUAUUUCUGUAAACCAAUAAGAAUUCCUCACAGAACCUUGCACCAACACUCUCUCUGUCUCCCGUUCUCUCUCUCCUUUUUUUCCUUUAAAAGCCUGCCUGUAACAAAGGCCAAAUAAAGCUCAUAUCCAAGGUUACUUGGACCUGAACCUCCUGGGCAGCUGUCCUUAUCUUAGAAUGUGAGCUAAAGACUCACAAGGCUCACAACUUUGGAAAGGAGAUCUUUAUUUCUCAUGAAGGCCUGCAACCUGCAGGCUGGCCAUCCCACGGGCUGGGAAGUGUAGCCUCCAGCCAAAGCCCAAAGCAAGCAUGUUGAGGGAGGUGUGGAGGGAACAGGAAUUUAGGCUCAACAGGCUGGCUAAACAUAAGUAUUUAACAAGCUAUAGGAGACAUCAUGAAUAUCUGUGAAAGGAGAAACAAGCACAUGUGCAACUGAGCUUCAUGCUUCUUCAUGGGUCACAUGUUUUAAAAAAUGGUGAUGUUGGCAUGAUCUAAGAGUGGAUAUCUGGGCCCUCAGAUAUCCAAAAGGUGACACAGAGAAGGACACAAAAACUCUCACUAAGCAUCCUCCACAAAUUGGCCAAAACUAGUCCAGAGAUGGUCAGUUUUUAGGUGGGGAAGCAUCGUGAAACUGCUGAGCUGUUGGGUCAAAUGUGUCUAUGUCAAAUGAAUCCAGUUGUAGCCUCAGAUGACUGGCUAAAGGUGAUUAAAAAAUGAGUUGUCUGUUUCUUGCUUUCUAGAGCUGGUUUCUGUUUACUCCUUAGGAAGGAAUUCUGGUUAAAGGAUAAUGAGGAAGGGACUUACUGAGGCGUGUCUGACCUCCCAUCCCAUCAUGGCCAGGAACCCAGUUUUUAAGGUUUAUCUGGGAUUCUCCUGGCCAACAGGGGAAUCCGUUUAGUCCACUGAGGGACUUAGGAUUUUUAUUUCUCAGUCUCAAGUAAACUGUUUAAAUCUCAUUUUGCAUUUCAUUCUCUUCUUUUUAGGUGGGCAAAAGAGAAAAAGUAGGAGAAUUCCUAGAAUUUAUAUUUAGAGUAAGUGAGCAGCAGUGUCAAUGCUAAAAAAUUAUAUGGUUAUCCUAAAAAAUUUCUUUCUGCAAAGCUGUGGCUGAGUUGGUAAUAAAUUAUUAACCACUGGAAAUGACAAGAUGUGUAAAACCACCCUCUAUUUUUUAAAUAUUUGGCUAUUCCACUCCUCCCAUAAGCUUCCUUUGUCCCAAGAUUAAUUAUUCUAAAAUGGUUGGGCCAUUUCUCCAGAAUACAGAAUAUGUUAGCUGUCAUUAUUGCAGACUUGUGAAAUAGUAGCGUUUGAAUCUCUUGUCUGAGCACGGCUGUGAGAGGUAUUCAGAGGAUUCUGUGGGCAGGUAAUGUUUUGGUUUCAUGAGCAGGAGCAAAAAUCCAGAAGGCUUUAACACUUCAGUGCAUCCCAAGGCACCCCUAUUGAGUAUUGUAUAGAGGAUCUCAAAAGAUAACAGCCACCUGAGGAAGGAAAGCAGCUCAUAGCAGACUGAGCUGUGUGAGGUCUGCGAAAUUUAUCAGGCCCAGAGAGGCAUGAGCUUUGGACUUCAGUCCUUCCCCUGCAUCCAUUCCCAGGGGCAAUUAUUUUAAGACAUUUUUGUUCCUGAGUAGCCGCCCAGCCCAUUACCUUCAUGUUCCUGUAAUAUAUGAAGCAAAGAACAAUGAAUAGCCAAUUAAUAACAUAUUAUUUCAAUGUAAACUCUAGAAACUAUCUCUUUUUUUCCUUAAAAACUCACUUGUAACUGCUACAGUGAGAGUGUAUAUUCAGGACAACUUGAAUCUAUGUUCCCAGGUGGCCAUCUUCAAGCUCAGAUAAACUCUAUACUUAAUCAUAAUUUCUGAAUCCCAUUGUUUAAGGUUGGUACACCACAAUGGCCUAGCAUCCUUCUGUUCCAUGAGAGCAAUAGACACCAUUCAAAGGGCUAUUCCUCUCCACUCUCUAGACUCUCUUUGUACCAGCAAGUUAACUGUUGAGCAAUUCUUUGGUAAUUAAACAAUCAUUACAGCAUUAUUAGCUCCACACUCUGGAUGACAUCUUUAAGCCUCUCUCAUGUGUUAAGCAUGUCUAAUGUGUUUUUCCACUUUUGGAUAACUUAAGAGACCAAAAUAUACCACCUCAAAAUAUGCCUCUUUGGCAUAAGCAUUAUUUUGAGCCAACUAUUUUUGAGAAACAGCAGACACCGGAGAAACAGAGUAGAAGUUACUCUUUUGCAAGGAAGACUUACUUCUAUAAUGAAAAUCUCCUUUUGUAAUGAUACCUUCCUUUCAGUACCAGGAAGGAAAGGAUGGCUAAAUCACAAAAGACUCAUCUAUGGAGAAAGCACCAAUUUAAAUCUGCAUAACAAACCUCACCCUUUUCUAUCAUGCUUUCCCUGGUCACCUCCCCAGGACUGGCUUCCCCCCCAGUCUUCUUUCUUUGUUUUAGAUGAAGAUGGUAUUUAAGCCUAAAUUCUAAGCCAUUUCUUUUAUAUUUCCCCUUUUUUCCUGAGUAUCUCCCAUGCACACCUAAAGAAUACAUGUCAAUAAACUUCUGUUUGUUUUGUCCUUUUUUUGUUUGUUUGUUUUACAGGGGAUCCUAGCUAAAUAGAAGAGUAGAGGAAAAACGACUGUUUCAACCCUUACCGUAAUCAACUUUAUUGUGAUAAAGAUUCACAUAUUUUGCAAUAUGUCUUAUCUUUAUGGAAAUUAAAAAAUCCAAUCACAGAAUCAAAACUUCAGAAAUAUAGCCAAAUAUAAGUGGAAAUUUAGUAUACAAUAAAUGCAACAUCUCAAAUUAGUGGAGAAAAAUAGAAUUAUUAAAAAGCAGUAUUGGAAAAACCAUAUACCUAUAUGGAACAAGAUAAAAUUAGAUCUAUUCAUUACAUUCAAUACCAAAAAAUUCUAAAUAUAUCAGAUAUUUAAAUGUAAAAAAAAGCAACAAAAUAAUUUUUAAAACUUCGAUGAACUUUUCUAUUAUCUAGGAAUAAAGAAAUGUUUUCCUAACAUAAAAUUUUAAAACGUAAGAGAAAUGUUUAGUAAAUUUAAAUAAAUAAAAUAUUUAAGAUCUUAGUAUGAUCGUGUCAGAGGCAUUUGAACCAGUGUGACUCCAUCUUGAGUAGGGGCUGGGUAAAAUAAGGCUGAGACCUACUGGGCUGCAUUCCCAGGAGGCUAGGCAUUCUUAGUCACAGGAUGAGAUAGGAGGUCAGCACAAGAUAUAGGUCACAAAGACCUUGCUGAUAAAACACGUUGCAGUAAAGAAGCCAGCCAAAUUCUACCAAAACCAAGAUGGCAAUGAAAGUGAGCUCUGGUCAUCCUCACUGCUCAUUAUACACUAAUUAUAAUGCAUUAGCAGUCUAAGGGACACUCCCACCAGUGCCAUGACAGUUUACAAAUGCCAUGGCAGUAUCAGGAAGCUACCCUAUAUUGUCUAAAAUGGGAAGGAACCCUCAGUUCCAGGAAUUGCCCACCCCUUUUCUGGAAAACUCAUGAAUAAUCCACCCCUUUUUAGCAUAUAAUCAAAAAAUAACUAUAAGUAUCCUUAGUCCAGC